rnacentral:rRNA from 1 species
GAUGAACGCUAGCGGCAGGCUUAAUACAUGCAAGUCGAGGGGCAGCAUGAUUGUAGCAAUACAAUUGAUGGCGACCGGCAAACGGGUGCGGAACACGUACACAACCUUCCAACAAGCGGGGGAUAGCCCAGAGAAAUUUGGAUUAAUACCCCGUAACAUAGCGAUGUGGCAUCACAUUGCUAUUAUAGAUUUUCCGCUUGUUGAUGGGUGUGCGGCUGAUUAGAUAGUUGGCGGGGUAACGGCCCACCAAGUCUACGAUCAGUAGCUGAUGUGAGAGCAUGAACGACCACACGGGCACUGAGACACGAGCCCGACUCCUAGGGGAGGCAGCGGUAAGGAAUAUUGGACAAUGGACGCAAGUCUGAUCCAGCCAUGCCGCGUGAAGGAUUAAGGUCCUCUGGAUUGUAAACUUCUUUUAUAAGGGACGAAAAAAGGCUUUUCUAGGUCGUCUGACGGUACCUUAUGAAUAAGCACCGGCUAACUCCGUGCCAGCAGCCGCCGUAACAC